GAGGAACCGUUGAUUCGCACA
rnacentral:sRNA from 1 species